CAAAGUUGUGUAGUGCGAUCGGUGGAUGCCUUGGCACCAAGAGCCGAUGAAGGACGUUGUGACCUGCGAUAAGCCCUGGGAGUUGGUGAGCGAGCUGUGAUCCGGGGGUGUCCGAAUGGGGAAACCUGGAAUGUCCGGAGUAGUGUCCGGUGGCCCUGCCCUGAAUGUAUAGGGGUGUGGGUGGUAACGCGGGGAAGUGAAACAUCUUAGUACCCGUAGGAAGAGAAAACAAGUGUGAUUCCGUGAGUAGUGGCGAGCGAAAGCGGAGGAGGCUAAACCGUGUGUGUGUUCAAGCCGGCAGGUGUUGCAUGUGCGGGGUUGUGGGGGCCUUGUGGUUCUGCUGCCGCAGGAUUGGCCAGUGAGAAAUGUUGCGUGAAGGUGAAGCGUCUGGGAAGGCGUACCGGAGUGGGUGAGAGUCCUGUAACUGUAAGCGUGGCACUGGUGUGGGGUUGCCCCGAGUAGCGUGGGACUCGUGGAAUUUCGCGUGAAUCUGGCGGGACCACCCGUCAAGCCUAAAUACUCCUUGGUGACCGAUAGUGGAUGAGUACCGUGAGGGAAGGGUGAAAAGUACCCCGGGAGGGGAGUGAAAGAGUUCCUGAAACCGGUCGCAUGCAAGCCGUCAGAGCCUGUGUGGUGAUGGCGUGCCUUUUGAAGAAUGAGCCUGCGAGUUAGUGAUGCGUGGCGAGGUUAACCCGUGGUGGGGGAGUCGUAGCGAAAGCGAGUCCGAUAAGGGCGUGAGUCGCGUGUUCUAGACCCGAAGCGGUGUGAUCUAUCCAUGGCCAGGAUGAAGCGUCGGUAAGACGUCGUGGAGGUCCGAACCCACUUCAGUUGAAAAUGGAGGGGAUGAGUUGUGGAUAGGGGUGAAAGGCCAAUCAAACACCGUGAUAGCUGGUUCUCCCCGAAAUGCAUUUAGGUGCAGCGUUGCGUGGUUCUUGUUGGAGGUAGAGCACUGGAUGGUCUAGGGGGCUUAUCGGCUUACCGAAAUCAGCCAAACUCCGAAUGCUGGCAAGUGUAGCGUGGCAGUGAGACGGCGGGGGAUAAGCUUCGUCGUCGAGAGGGAAACAGCCCAGAUCAUCAGCUAAGGCCCCUAAGUGGUGACUCAGUGGGAAAGGAUGUGGAGUUGCGUAGACAACCAGGAGGUUGGCUUGGAAGCAGCCAUCCUUGAAAGAGUGCGUAAUAGCUCACUGGUCAAGUGAUUCCGCGCCGAUAAUGUAGCGGGGCUUAAGUUAUCCGCCGAAGCUGUGGCAACCUGUGUGGUUGGGUAGGGGAGCGUCGUGUCAGUGGUGAAGCUGCCGGGUGACUGUGUGGUGGAGUUGAUGCGAGUGAGAAUGCAGGCAUGAGUAGCGUGUGACGGGUGGGAAUCCCGUCCGCCGAUUAUCCAAGGGUUCCAGGGUCAAGUUUGUCUGCCCUGGGUGAGUCGGGUCCUAAGGCGAGGCCGACAGGCGUAGUCGAUGGGUAACCAGUUGAUAUUCUGGUACCGGCUUGUCACCGUCCGUGUCGAGGUGUGUGAUGCUAAGCAUGUGAGCUUGUCUUGGGAGUGUUUUUGAUGCUUCUGGGGUGGGUGAGUGUGUGAACCGAUCAUGUAGUAGGCAAGCUGCGGAGGGACGCAGUGAGGUAGCUCAUCCCCGGUGAUGGUUGUCCGGGGCUAAGUGUGUGGACUGUCUGGUAGGUAAAUCCGCUGGGCGUGAAGGUUGAGGCAUGAUGGGGAGCCCAUGGUUGUGGGUGAGUGAGUGAUCCUGUACUGUCGAGAAAAGCUUCGUGAGCGAGGUGGCGGGUCCGCCCGUACCCUAAACCGACACUGGUGGAUAGGUAGAGUAUACCGAGGCGAUCGAGUGAAUCGUGGUGAAGGAACUCGGCAAAAUGCCCCCGUAACUUUGGGAUAAGGGGGACCUGAGCUGUCGUGCACCCGUGCGGUGUGGUGGCGGUGAGGGGCGCAGAGUCCAGGGGGAAACGACUGUUUACCAAAAACACAGGUCCGUGCGAAGUCGUAAGACGAUGUAUACGGACUGACUCCUGCCCGGUGCUGGAAGGUUAAGGGGAACUGUGAGUGUAUGCGUAGCGGUGAACUUAAGCCCCAGUAAACGGCGGUGGUAACUAUAACCAUCCUAAGGUAGCGAAAUUCCUUGUCGGGUAAGU
rnacentral:rRNA from 1 species